rnacentral:rRNA from 1 species
UACGGAGGGGGCAAGCGUUGUUCGGAUUUACUGGGCGUAAAGGGUCCGUAGGUGGUUGCAUAAGUCUGGUGUGAAAUCUUCGCCGCUUAACGGGAAGAAGCCACUGGAAACUGCGUAACUUGAGUAUGGUAGAGGCAAGCGGAAUUCCUGGUGUAGCGGUGGAAUGUGUAGAUAUCAGAAAGAACAUCUGUGGCGAAGGCGGCUUGCUGGGCCAUCACUGACACUGAGGGACGAAAGCGUGGGGGAGCAAGCGGG